UGCUUUCAGUCUUGGGUUGCUGUUGCUUUCUAUAUAGAAAGGAAAGAAAGAAUCAACAUGAUAUCCUCAAAGAAAGCUUUGGGAAUGACAUUACCUCUUUGGAGUCCUUGCAAUUUGAAUUAGCCACAAUUGAAGCUGCAACAAACAGAUUUGGUGUAGAAAACAGGAUAGGGAAAGGUGGAUUUGGAGAAGUCUACAAAGUAAAUAUAUCAACUAGUACUACAUUAAAUGAUAAUAUCAAUAAUACUUCUUUUCCAUGUUGACUUCUUCUGUAUGCUAUUCAGGGAAUUCUCUCAGAUGGACAAGAAAUUGCUGUGAAGAGGCUUACAAGAAGCUCCGGGCAAGGUGCAGAAGAGUUUAAAAAUGAGGUUCAAGUUAUAGCUAAGCUUCAACACAGAAAUCUAGUGAGGUUACUAGGAUUUUGUUUGGAAGAUGAAGAGAAGAUACUUAUCUAUGAGUAUGUGCCAAACAAGAGUCUAGAUUACUUUUUAUUUGGUAUGUUGUUUCUAAACUUAUAAAUUCUAAAUUUCAGCUAGAGGCAUGUCUGGGUAACAAUUGCAACAAUUGCAUUCUACCUCAACAGCCCUUCAAUCAACCUGCCACCACCUCUUGAACCGCCAUAUUUUAGGCGUAGUAGAAUUGAAGAAAACACAACCCUCAGCAAGGAAUUGGGCAAUACCAGUGAUUCCACCAAUGGAAUCACUAUAACUACAUUCUUUCCUCGUUAAGGCAUGGGUGAAAACAGUUUUUGCUGUAUCAAUAUUAUUAUCUACAUUCUACUGUUACAUAAUGAUUAUAGACCACAUACUUGAACCAUAUGAAAUACAAUUUGAAUAAAUCA